rnacentral:lncRNA from 1 species
UCUUCUUAUAAUCGAUCAUCCGAUCCAAUCAUGUCAGCGUAUCCAAUCAAGUCUGCCAAAUCGUCAAAACUGAUUGAAAUUGAAUUGGCCUGUCGGUUGAUUUAAGCGGAUUGAAUUGGAUCUUAUACGCCCCUAGUUGCAGUACCGCCAAAGCAGCAAAGAAGCAAUCUCUGCAGAGAGCCCCAUGCCGAUACAGCUGACAGCUGGAGUAGCCGACCGAUUCUCAGUCACUGAAGCUGAGCUGCUGCAGAGUAAAAUGCUGAGAGGGAAGCUGUUCACGCUACAAAUAAACAGCUUCGAUGGGCAUGGCCCAGUUCGUAUUGUCGUGCCUGGACAGCUGAACUGCAAGAAUAAAUAUCGAAGAAAUUAAUUAUUGCUAAUUUAUCAAGAAAACAUAUCUGCAAAGAAAAAAGAAACUAUUUUUUUUGCUUUCUGUGCUUGCUGCUUUUAAUGUUGGUUAAGAUUUUAAACAUGGGUUUCCUUCAAAAGUUGUAUAUGUAAAUCGCAAAUGCAAGUCUUAGGAAAACAAUCUUACAUAUUUACACUGGCUCUGGCUCGAAGAAUGCAAGAACCAGCCACUUGUCUACCAUUCUUCUCUGCCACUUCUCGUUUUCGGUUCUUACAGCUACG